UACGUAGGUGGCAAGCGUUAUCCGGAUUUACUGGGUGUAAAGGGCGUGUAGGCGGGAGAGCAAGUCAGACGUGGAAUUCCAGGGCUCAACCCUGGAACUGCGUUUGAAACUGUUCUUCUUGAGUGAUGGAGAGGCAGGCGGAAUUCCGUGUGUAGCGGUGAAAUGCGUAGAUAUACGGAGGAACACCAGUGGCGAAGGCGGCCUGCUGGACAUUAACUGACGCUGAGGCGCGAAAGCGUGGGGAGCAAACAGG
rnacentral:rRNA from 1 species